AGUGAACGCUGGCGGUAGGCCUAACACAUGCAAGUCGAACGGCAGCACAGUAAGAGCUUGCUCUUACGGGUGGCGAGUGGCGGACGGGUGAGGAAUACAUCGGAAUCUACUUUUUCGUGGGGGAUAACGUAGGGAAACUUACGCUAAUACCGCAUACGACCUACGGGUGAAAGCAGGGGAUCUUCGGACCUUGCGCGAUUGAAUGACCCGAUUUCGGAUUAGCUAGUUGGCGGGGUAAAGGCCCACCAAGGCGACGAUCCGUAGCUGGUCUGAGAGGAUGAUCAGCCACACUGGAACUGAGACACGGUCCAGACUCCUACGGGAGGCAGCAGUGGGGAAUAUUGGACAAUGGGCGCAAGCCUGAUCCAGCCAUACCGCGUGGGUGAAGAAGGCCUUCGGGUUGUAAAGCCCUUUUGUUGGGAAAGAAAAGCAGCAGGUUAAUACCCCGCUGUUCUGACGGUACCCAAAGAAUAAGCACCGGCUAACUUCGUG
rnacentral:rRNA from 1 species